rnacentral:rRNA from 1 species
CUCAAAUGAAUUGACGGGGGCCCGCACAAGCGGUGGAGCAUGUGGUUUAAUUCGAUGCAACGCGAAGAACCUUACCUGGUCUUGACAUCCACAGAACUUUCCAGAGAUGGAUUGGUGCCUUCGGGAACUGUGAGACAGGUGCUGCAUGGCUGUCGUCAGCUCGUGUUGUGAAAUGUUGGGUUAAGUCCCGCAACGAGCGCAACCCUUAUCCUUUGUUGCCAGCGAUUAGGUCGGG